CAGUCACAUCACAUUGAAACACUGGUUUCCUGUAUGAUCCCUGGAGUUAAGCAACAGCAAGCUGGUCAGUACCUAGAUGAGUGACCACUUGGGAAUACCAGGUGCUGUAAG